rnacentral:rRNA from 1 species
UAGUCCACGCCGUAAACGAUGAUAACUAGCUGUCCGGGCUCAUAGAGCUUGGGUGGCGCAGCUAACGCAUUAAGUUAUCCGCCUGGGGAGUACGGCCGCAAGAUUAAAACUCAAAGGAAUUGACGGGGGCUCGCACAAGUGGUGGAGCAUGCGGUUUAAUUCGAUGCUACGCGAAAAACCUUACCAACCCUUGACAUGGUGGUCGCGAGAGAUAGAGAUAACUCUCUUCAGUUAGGCUGGACCACACACAGGUGUUGCAUGGCUGUCGUCAGCUCGUGUCGUGAGAUGUUGGGUUAAGUCCCGCAACGAGCGAAACCCUCAUUCUCAUUUGCCAGCGGUUCGGCCGGGAACUAUGAGGAAACUGCCGGUGAUAAGCCGGAGGAAGGUGGGGAUAAUGUCAAGUCAUCAUGGCCCUUAUGGGUUGGGCUACACGCGUGCUACAAUGGUAUCUACAGAGGGAUGGCAAUAUGGCAACAUGGAGCAAAUCCUCAAGG